rnacentral:tRNA from 1 species
AUUUAUAUAGUUUAAAAAACAUUACAUUUUCAAUGUAAAAUUGGAGGAACAUCCUAUAAAUA